ensembl:snRNA U6 U6 spliceosomal RNA
UAUUAAGCUCAAAUGAAAAUGGAGUGCUAAAACUGGAACAACACAGAGAUUAGUAUGGCUCCUGCACAAGGAUGACACUCAAAUUCUUGAAGUGUUCCAUAUUUCC